rnacentral:lncRNA from 1 species
AUGGGUGAACAGGCUGUAUUAGGGCCAAAAUCAAAUGCUGAUUCAGACUUUAGACAAAGGGCCCUGGCCUAUUUUGAGCGGUUAAAGAUUUCCCCAGAUACCUGGCAGGUGUGUGCACAGAGGCUGUAGCCCAGAGGACAUAUAGUGAUGAACAUGUAAAGUUUUUCUGCUUUCAAGUGCUGGAACAUUAAGUUAAAUACAAAUACUCAGAACUAACCACGGUUCAACAACAACUAAUUAGGGAGACGCGCAUAUCAUGGCUGCAAGCUCAGAUGCUGAAUCCCCAACCAGAGAAGACCUUUAUACGAAAUAAAGCCGCCCAAGUCUUCGCCUUGCUUUUUGUUACAGAAUAUCUCACUAAGUGGCCCAAGUAUUUUUGUUUACAUUCUCUCAGUAGUGGACCUAAAUCCAAGGGGAGUAGAUGUGUGCCUGCGAAUCCUCAUGGCUAUCGAUUCAGAGUUGGUGGAUCGUGAUGUGGUGCAUACGUCAGAGGAGGCUCGUAGGAAUACUCUCAUUAAAGAUACCAUGAGGGAACAGUGCAUUCCAAAUCUGGUGGAAUGAUGGUACCAAAUAUUACAAAAUUAUCAGUAUACUAAUUCUGAAGUGACCGUCAGUGCUUUGAAGUAGUUGGGGCUUACGUCUCUUGGAUAGACUUACCCCUUAUAGCCAAUGAUAGGUUUAUAAGUGUGCUGCUAGGUCAUAUGUCAAUAGGAGUUCUACGGGAAGAAGCAUGUGACUGUUUAUUUGAAGUUGUAAAUAAAGGAAUGGACCCUGUCGAUAAAAUGAAACUAGUAGAAUCUUUGUGCCAAGGAUUACAGUCUGCUGGGUCUUUCAGCAUUGACCAGGAAGAAGAUGUUGACUUCCUGGCCAGAUUUUCUAAGCUGGUAAAUGGAAUGGGACAGUAAUUGAUUGAUAGUUGGAGUAAAUUAAUUAAGAAUGCGGAUAUUAAGAAUGCUCAAGAGGCACUACAAGCUAUUGAAACAAAAGUGGCACUGAUGUUGCAGCUACUAAUUCAUGAGGAAGAUGAUAUUUCUCCUAAUAUUAUAGGAUUUUGUUAUUAUUAUCUUCAUAUUUGGAAACAGCUUACAGUGCUCUUGGAUCAGCAAAAAGCUAAUGUAGAGGCAAUCAUGUUGGCCGUUAUGAAAAAAUUGACUUACGAUGAAGAAUAUAACUUCGAAAAUGAGGGUGAAGAUGAAGCCAUGUUUGUAGAAUAUAGAAAACAACUGAAGUUACUGUUGGACAGGCUUGCUCAAGUUUCACCAGAGUUACUGGUGGCCUCUGUUCACAGCGUUUUUAGUUCUACACUGCAGGAUUGGCAGACUACAUGGUUUAUGGAAGUUGAAGUAGCAAUAAGAUUGCUGUAUAUGUUGGCAGAAGCUCUUCUAGUAUCUCACGGUGUUCCAUUUGCAGGUGAUGUUUCAAAAGCCAGUGCUUUGCAGGAUAUGAUGAGAAUUCUGGUAACAUCAAGAGUCAGUUCCUAUCAGCAUACAUCUGUGACGUUGGAGUUCUUCAAAAAUGUUGUUAGAUAUGAAAAGUUUUUCACAGUUGAACCUCAGCACAUUCCACGUGUACUAAUGGCUUUCUUAGAUCACAGAAGUCUGCGGCAUUCCAGUGCAAAAGUUCGGAGCAGGAUGGCUUACCUGUUUUCUAGAUUUGUCAAAUCUCUCAAUAAGCAAAUGAAUCCUCUCACUGAGGAUAUUUUGAAUAGAAUACAAGAUUUAUUAGAGCUUUCUCCACCUGAGAAUGGCCACCAGUCUUUACUGGGCAGCGAUGAUCAACUUUUUAUUUAUGAGACAGCUGGAGUGCUGACUGUUAAUAGUGAAUACCUGGCAGAAAGGAAACAAGCCUUGGUGAGGAAUCUGUUGACUCCACUAAUGGAGAAGUUUAAAAUUCUGUUAGAAUAGUUGAUGCUGGCACAAGAUGAAGAUAGGCAAGCCUCUCUAGCAGACUGUCUCAACCAUGCUGUUGGAUUUGCAAGUCCAACCAGUAAAGCUUUCAGCAACAAGCAGACUAUAAAACAAUGUGGCUGUUCUGAAGUUUGUCUGGACUGUUUACAGACAUUCCUGCCAGCCCUCAGUUGUCCCUUACAAAAGGAUAUUCUCAGAAGUGGAGUCCGUACUUUCCUUCAUCGAAUGGUUAUUUGCCUGGGGGAAGAAGUUUUUCCGUUCAUCCCAGCUGCUUCAGAACGUAUGCUCAAAGAUUGUGAAGCAGAAGACCUCCAGGAGUUCAUUCUUCUUAUCAACCAGAUUACGGCCAAAUUCAAGAGACAGGUAUCUCCGUUUUUACAACAGAUGUUCAUGCCCCUGCUUCAUGCAAUUUUUGAAGUGCUGCUCCAGCCAGCGGAAGAAAAUGACUAGUCUGCUGCUUUAGAGAAGCAGAUGUUGUGGAGGAGUUACUUUGCUUUCCUGCAAACAGUCACAGGCAGUGGGAUGAGUGAAGUUAUAGCAAAUCAAGCUGCACAAAAUGUAGAGUGCUGGUUACUGUUACCCAAGGAGCAGUUGAAUAUCCAGAUCCAAUUGCACAGAAAACAUGUUUUAUCAUCCUCUCAAAGUUGGUGGAACUCUGGAGAGGUAAAGAUGGACCAGUGGGAUUUGCUGAUUUUGUUUAUAAGCACAUUGUCCCCUCAUGUUUCCUAGCACCUUUAAAACAAACCUUUGACCUGGCAGAUGCACAAACAGUAUUGGCUUUAUCUGAGUGUGCAGUGACACUGAAAACAAUUCAUCUCAAAUGGGGCCCAGAAUGUGUUCAGUAUCUUCAACAAGAAUACCUGCCCUCCUUGCAAGUAGCUCCAGAAAUAAUUCAGGAGUUUUGUCAAGCGCUUCAGCAGCCUGAUGCUAAAGUUUUAAAAAAUUACUUAAAGGUGUUCUUCCAGAGAGCAAAGCCC